UGGGGAAUAUUGCACAAUGGGCGAAAGCCUGAUGCAGCGACGCCGCGUGAGGGAUGAAGGCCUUCGGGUUGUAAACCUCUUUCGCCAGGGAAGAAGCGCAAGUGACGGUACCUGGAGAAGAAGCACCGGCUAACUACGUGCCAGCAGCCGCGGUAAUACGUAGGGUGCGAGCGUUGUCCGGAAUUAUUGGGCGUAAAGAGCUUGUAGGCGGUUUGUCGCGUCUGCUGUGAAAAUUCGGGGCUUAACUCCGGACGUGCAGUGGGUACGGGCAGGCUAGAGUGUGGUAGGGGAGACUGGAAUUCCUGGUGUAGCGGUGAAAUGCGCAGAUAUCAGGAGGAACACCGAUGGCGAAGGCAGGUCUCUGGGCCAUAACUGACGCUGAGAAGCGAAAGCAUGGGGAGCGAACAGG
rnacentral:rRNA from 1 species